CUAUCCGGAAUUAUUGGGCGUAAAGAGCUCGUAGGCGGUUUGUCGCGUCUGCCGUGAAAGUCCGGGGCUUAACUCCGGAUCUGCGGUGGGUACGGGCAGACUAGAGUGCAGUAGGGGAGACUGGAAUUCCUGGUGUAGCGGUGAAAUGCGCAGAUAUCAGGAGGAACACCGAUGGCGAAGGCAGGUCUCUGGGCUGUAACUGACGCUGAGGAGCGAAAGCAUGGGGAGCGAACAGGAUUAGAUACCCUGGUAGUCCAUGCCGUAAACGUUGGGCACUAGGUGUGGGGGACAUUCCACGUUUUCCGCGCCGUAGCUAACGCAUUAAGUGCCCCGCCUGGGGAGUACGGCCGCAAGGCUAAAACUCAAAGGAAUUGACGGGGGCCCGCACAAGCGGCGGAGCAUGCGGAUUAAUUCGAUGCAACGCGAAGAACCUUACCAAGGCUUGACAUGAACCGGAAUGAUGCAGAGAUGUGUCAGCCACUUGUGGCCGGUUUACAGGUGGUGCAUGGUUGUCGUCAGCUCGUGUCGUGAGAUGUUGGGUUAAGUCCCGCAACGAGCGCAACCCUCGUUCCAUGUUGCCAGCGGGUUAUGCCGGGGACUCAUGGGAGACUGCCGGGGUCAACUCGGAGGAAGGUGGGGACGACGUCAAAUCAUCAUGCCCCUUAUGUCUUGGGCUUCACGCAUGCUACAAUGGCCGGUACAAAGGGUUGCGAUACUGUGAGGUGGAGCUAAUCCCAAAAAGCCGGUCUCAGUUCGGAUUGAGGUCUGCAACUCGACCUCAUGAAGUUGGAGUCGCUAGUAAUCGCAGAUCAGCAACGCUGCGGUGAAUACGUUCCCGGGCCUUGUACACACCGCCCGUCAAGUCACGAAAGUUGGUAACACCCGAAGCCGGUGGCCUAACCCCUUGUGGGAGGGAGCCGUCGAAGG
rnacentral:rRNA from 1 species